rnacentral:misc_RNA from 1 species
UUUCCGUAGGUGAACCUGCGGAAGGAUCAUUAACACGUUCGAGGCUGUGCCUCUUGCUCACCACAUGUCGACUCGGUCCCGUUUGUUUUUUACAACCGUUUACAUAUUACAACUAAAGUUAUUUUUAUAAAAAAAUACAACUCUUAGCAAUGGAUAUCUUGGUUCCC